UAAUAGGUGUUUUAUGGCACUUUUUAAAUCCAUAUCCACCUUGUGUGCAAUGUCAGUCGAUCUUCUUCUUACAUUAAAUGGAGAUCGACCAAACAUCAACCUUUAUCUUUUAACUCUUUGUCUGAAAAAUAUUAUGAAUAAACAAUUCAAAAUA
rnacentral:misc_RNA from 1 species